CACUAACUGGAGGACCGAACCGACUAAUGUUGAAAAAUUAGCGGAUGACUUGUGGCUGGGGGUGAAAGGCCAAUCAAACCGGGAGAUAGCUGGUUCUCCCCGAAAGCUAUUUAGGUAGCGCCUCGUGAAUUCAUCUCCGGGGGUAGAGCACUGUUUCGGCAAGGGGGUCAUCCCGACUUACCAACCCGAUGCAAACUGCGAAUACCGGAGAAUGUUAUCACGGGAGACACACGGCGGGUGCUAACGUCCGUCGUGAAGAGGGAAACAACCCAGACCGCCAGCUAAGGUCCCAAAGUCAUGGUUAAGUGGGAAACGAUGUGGGAAGGCCCAGACAGCCAGGAUGUUGGCUUAGAAGCAGCCAUCAUUUAAAGAAAGCGUAAUAGCUCACUGGUCGAGUCGGCCUGCGCGGAAGAUGUAACGGGGCUAAACCAUGCACCGAAGCUGCGGCAGCGACACUGUGUGUUGUUGGGUAGGGGAGCGUUCUGUAAGCCUGUGAAGGUGUGCUGUGAGG
rnacentral:rRNA from 1 species